rnacentral:lncRNA from 10 species
GCCAAGGUGGGUGUUUCACAAGAUUCCAAGAAGAAAAAAUUUCAUUUGAAUUUCUCUCUGUUUCUGUCUACUUUCUUGGAUUUUUAUGGCAAUCGUGCUGAAGGUAUGAAAGAAUUUGGGAAUGAUUGGAGCUUUUUGCAAUAUAAAGACUUUACAUCCAUUAACAUGGUGAUCCAGUAGAGAAGAAGAGAGAUUUCCGUAGGAAAGAAACUCAGUAUGUCAAUAAAAGAAGAGUUUGCAGCAGCAAUGUUGUCACUACACAACUUGGAAUCUGGACUGCCAUCGUACAAUCUCUGAUGUCUUCUGACAACCAAAUAGGUGACCCUUAUUCCUGUGGCGUUUGUUAGUAGAUCCAACUACUUUAGCGAUGGAUACUGGUUGUCACAUUUUUGCUCUUGCUAGCAUGAAUUAUCUUACCUCCAAAAUCUUUAACAUGAGAUUCUACACUAUGGAAGAAAUUUUGUUUUAUUUCUCCUUCAUGGCCUCUCCUAGUAUACCUAUUCUCAAACGCAUUAUGACUUCUAGUCUAUGGAUGAGAAAUAUUUCUUAUGAACUGAAUUUCUUGUGAACUGAAUUCAUGUUGCUCUUCAGAGAAUGGAGUGGAUGGUGCAGAUGUAAUUGAAUUGGUCAAGUUAGAUUGAAAAAAUCAACUUUACAAAUGAACCUAGGUAAAACAAAUUAUUUUAAUCUUACAGCAUGAAGUCAAAGGUGAUCAAAUUUUUGCUAAAAAUUUAGAAUUAUAUAUUUUUGAAGGAAAAAAUGUUCAGUCACAACAUGUACUAAAGCAAGUCAAAUACAGUUGAUCCCUGAACAGCACAGGUUUGAACUACAUUGGUCUACUUAAAUGUGGAUUUUCUUCUGCCUCUGCCACCCCUGAGACAACAAGACCAUCCCCUCCUCUUCUCUCUCUUCUUCUGCCUACUCAAUUUGAAGACAAUGAGGAUGAAGUCCUGUAUCAUGAUCUGCUUCCACGUAAUGAAUAGUAAACGUAUUUUCUCCCUUAUGACUUUUCAUAACAUUUUCUCUUCUCUAGCUUACUAUAUUGUAAGAAUAUAGUAUAUAAUACAUAUAACAUACAAAAUAUGUGUUAAUUGACUGUCUAUGUUAUUGGUAAAGUUUUUGGUACAGUAGGCUAUUUGUAGUUAGGGUUUGGGGGAGUAGGAAUUAUGUAUAGAUUUUCUACUACACAGGGUGUGGGGGGUCAGCACCCCUAACUCCCACAUUGUUCAAAUGUCAACUAUGGUGAAAAUAAAGUUAAGGCCUUCCAAACGCCUGAUUUUACAAUUGUGAAAGCAAGUCCACAGUGUUGAGAAAGACUUCAUGAAGAGGUAGAGACAUUCUCUGGAAUAUCUGCUUAAAAUAUCUCAAACUGUUACUUUUGAGAUUUUCAUAACUAAAAAAGCAUACUUACAUACAGUUAAAUGUUUACAUAAUGAAGCAAAUAAUGUCCAGUGAAAUUUUUCAAAGGGGCUGUAACACAGAGACCUCAAUUCAUGAAAAUGCUAGCUGAAAUCAGAUUUGUCCUCUCAAGACCAGGUCUUAGAAGUUUAUUGAAUGACAGUUAAGCUAAAGUAUGAUCAAUCAUCAUUUUCUAGGGUAAAAAAUGUUUACAUUAUAAAUAUAUAUGAUUAGUUCUAAGCACAAAGGAGGAAUAACUUAAUUGCUCCAAAUAUUCAUUAACAUACAAAACUAACAAUUUAAAUAAUGCUUCAUAUUAAUAGGCAAUACUGCCAGCAAGAGUAUAACACAUUGAGAAUAUGUACAUUAUCCUACAUUGAAACUUCUGUUUGUCAUUAAGUUCAGGUACCUUUAAUUAUGUGUUAUUGGUUAGAGCAGUAGGAAGAAUGAUACUCUAUAAAAAUUGAUAUGCAUAGCUAUAAAUUAUUUUAAAUGUUAUUAUGUAAGUGUGAUGUUACGCUAAUUGGAAGAAAAGGGGGAAACACAUCUCAGGAGCAUUCUAACAUGCAGAAAAUUUUGGUAAAUUCUUUGUUGCAAUACCUGAGUGAAGUAACUGAUUUUUAAAAUUAUGCUAAAAGAAGACGUUAUCUCACAAAUAUCUCUACAAUAAAUUGCAUUUAUGCUUAGCUGGAAGUUUUGAAUUUUAUUUUAUAUCUCUAGAAUUAACUUAGUUUUCAAUGUUAACCAUAUUUCACAGAAUUAUCUCUGAGUUAACUUUAUAAAAAUAAUUAUAUAUUUGUCUAAAAUAUUUUUUCGAUUUUUAAAAUUCUAUUUCUAAACCAACUUUGUGUUCCUCCAACCCAUCUGACCACCUCUCCUCUUUCAGCAGUUUGAAGAGUUUGAAAUGAAAAUUUUCAAUUUUUAAUCUAAUUUCCAUGCACGCACACACACACACACACACACACACACAUCUAUGGACCCCAGUGUGGUCUGGAAUCACUAUUGAUCAUCCUUCUUGUCCUUAUGUGCAUAACUCUCAGCUGCUUCUUCAUCCUGAAGAGAAUACUAAAGGGAGCUUCCCUGAUGCAAAAAGAUUCUGUAAUUUGAACAGUUACAGCAUAUUUUUUUGUCUUUUUUUGGAUUGUUUAUAAUUAAAUACUUAAUAUACAUGAAAGAGUUCAUGUAAAUAUAUAUAUAUAGUUAACAUAUUCAUAGCACCAACCAAGUCAAGAAGAAUUACCUUGGAUGUAUGCCAGACACUUCCUGCUUUGUCUUCCUUAUUCAAACUCUUUUGCCUCCUUACUUGAGGCACAAGCACUUUACUAAUAUUAUAUUCCUUGCAUGUAUAAUUUGAUCCUUAAAAUUAUAGUUUUGCAUAUAUAAAUAGAAUCUUACUUAGGCAUGUCCAAGCUAUUCAUUUCUUGCUUUUACUUGCUGUUUGUUAUGUUUAUAAAUUUUAAAUUUUAAUUUACAUAACUUUGCUGUAAAUUGCCAAAUUGUUUUUCCAUUCUUUAAUGUUUGUUGCUAUAUACUAUUCCAUUAGGUAAAUAUAUCACAGUUUUUGUCCAAAUAUUAUUAAUAAACAUUUUUGUUAUUUCUGGUGUUACUAUUGGAGACCAUGUUGCUAUGAAUAUUCUUGUACACUUUUCCCAAUGCACAUAAAUUUCGCAUAUACUUUAGUGCUUCUUGAUGGUGGUUUUGCUAAUUGGGUAUAUGAAUUUUUAACUUUGCUACAAAUUGCCAAAUUGUUUUUCCAAAGUAGUUUUUUUUUUUUAACCAAUUUUGUACCAGCCAAGUAUAAGAUUUUCUGUGGCUGUCUAGUAUUCACAAAAGGGAUAUUUUCAGCCAUUUGUUUUUACUACCCUGGUGAGUGUGAUAUACACAAUUAAAACGUACUCACAGAGAAAAUCUCGGGCGCAGAUGCCUUCACUGGUGAAUUCUUCCAAAUCUGAAGACAUUAAUACAAUACCAAAUUUCAGAAAAUUUAUUACAGAAAAAAAAAAUCUCUCUAGAUGAAAAUAAGCUCAUUCCCAGAAAAAUCUUACCAAACCUGAGAAAGAUUUUCAAUGAACAAAAAUUAUAGAACAAUUUCUGCCAUGAACAUGGAUGCAAAAAUCUAAAACAAAAUAUCAUCAAAUAAAACCAAUCUUAUGACCAAGUGGGAAUUAUUAUAGGAAUGCAAACUUGUAUUAAAAAAACCACACUCACCAUAUACUCAGUAGGUGCAAAAAGAGAAAAAAAGAAAUUCUAUAAAACUCAAUACUCAUUCAUGCUAGGAACUCUUACCAUGCUAGGGAUUGAAACAGAAUCCUUAUUUUGUUGGUUAACUUAAUAUAUAAUAAACAUUAUUAAACUCAACAGCCAACUUAAGUAAAUCAUUGAAAAUAGUUUCUAUCUAUGUUCUCAUCUGUCUUCCAUCCCUCUGCUUACUGCAAUGGUAAAUAAUGUCUAAAUUUGGUGUUAUAUUCUCUUGUUUUUUGGUCAACUUUAUUAUGUAUAAUCUACAUACAAUCAAACACACUAUAUUAACUAUAUAAUACAAUGACAUUUUACUACUGCAUACAUCCUGAAAUGACCAAUAUAAUAAAAAAUAUUCAAGAC